rnacentral:rRNA from 1 species
UACGUAGGGUGCAGGCGUUAAUCGGAAUUACUGGGCGUAAAGCGUGCGCAGGCGGCUCCUUAAGUCAGAUGUGAAAGCCCCGGGCUUAACCUGGGAACUGCGUUUGAAACUGGGGAGCUAGAGUGUAGAAGAGGGGGGUGGAAUUCCAGGUGUAGCAGUGAAAUGCGUAGAGAUCUGGAGGAACACCGAUGGCGAAGGCAGCCCCCUGGGCUAACACUGACGCUCAUGCACGAAAGCGUGGGGAGCAAACGAGG